AUACGUAGGUGACGAGCGUUGUCCGGAAUUAUUGGGCGUAAAGGGAGCGCAGGCGGUUGGAAUAGUCUGAUGUGAAAGCCCACGGCUUAACCGUGGAAGGUCAUUGGAAACUGUCCAACUUGAAUGCAGAAGAGGAAAGUGGAAUUCCAUGUGUAGCGGUGAAAUGCGUAGAUAUAUGGAGGAACACCAGUGGCGAAGGCGACUUUCUGGUCUGUAAUUGACGCUGAGGCUCGAAAGCGUGGGUAGCGAACAGGAUUAGAUACCCUGGUAGUCCACGCCGUAAACGAUGAGUGCUAAGUGUUGGGGGGUUUCCGCCUCUCAGUGCUGCAGUUAACGCAUUAAGCACUCCGCCUGGGGAGUACGGCCGCAAGGCUGAA
rnacentral:rRNA from 1 species